rnacentral:tRNA from 1 species
GGGUUAACGGGUUAAACCCGGGUUUUAAAACCGGGUUUAAAAACCGGGUUAAACCCGGGUUUAAAACCCGGUUAACCCG